AACUUCAACACCUUCGUUCUCCUUCGUUUCUCAACCAAAUUGGACGAGUGAGGUAAUCCGACUCCGCCUUCAGAGCAGGCAGGACCCUCUCGGGGUCACGCAGCGUGGGACUACUUCCAGUAGUGACUGGUACGAGCAGCAGAGCUGUGUCGUGUGCCCUUGAACCGUGAACUUUGGUGCUCCGAGCUUUUGUAGAGCUUCGGUACCCUGUUAAUUCGUAAAACUCUUUUUUUUACUGGUUGGUUGAAUUCUGUUAGAUGCUCUGUUAUUGCCCAGUUAGAAUUUGGUAUUUUGA